rnacentral:misc_RNA from 1 species
UACAUCGCCACAGACUCUGAG